UCGGGAAUCUUGCACAAUGGGCGAAAGCCUGAUGCGGCAACACCGUGUGAGCGAGGAAGGCCCUCGGGUCGUAAAGCUCUGUUGUUGGGGACGAAGGGCGAAGGGUUAAUAGCCCCUAGCCUGACGGUACCCUUCGAGGAAGCCCCGGCUAACUACGUGCCAGCAGCCGCGGUAAUACGUAGGGGGCGAGCGAUGUCCGGAAUGAUUGGGCGUAAAGAGCGUGUAGGCGGCCCGGUAAGUCCGCCGUGAAAAGCUGGGGCUCAACCCUGGGCGUGCGGUGGAUACUGCUGGGCUAGAGGAUGGUAGAGGCGAGUGGAAUUCCCGGGGUAGCGGUGAAAUGCGCAGGGAUCGGGAGGAACACCAGUAGCGAAGGCGGCUCGCUGGGCCAUUCCUGACGCUGAGACGCGAAAGCGUGGGGAGCGAACAGGAUUAGAUACCCCCGUAGUCC
rnacentral:rRNA from 1 species